rnacentral:rRNA from 1 species
AUUGAACGCUGGCGGCAGGCCUAACACAUGCAAGUCGAACGAGUGGCGGACGGGUGAGUAAUGUCUUGGAAACUGCCUGAUGGAGGGGUAUAACUACUGGAAACGGUAGCUAAUACCGCAUACCAUCAGAUGUGCCCAGAGUGGAUUAGCUAGUAGGGGGGGUAAUGGCUCACCUAGGCGACGAUCCCUAGCUGGUCUGAGAGGAUGACCCGCCACACUGGAACUGAGACACGGUCCAGCCUCCUACGGGAGGCAGCAGUGGGGAAUAUUGGACAAUGGGCGCAAGCCUGAUGUAGCCAUGCCGCGUGUGUGAAGAAGGCCUUCGGGUUGUAAAGCACUUUCAGCGAGGAGGCGUUACUCGCAGAAGAAGCACCGGCUAACUCCGUGCCAGCAGCCGCGGUAAUUC